UACGGAGGGGGCUAGCGUUGUUCGGAAUUACUGGGCGUAAAGGGCGCGUAGGCGGGCGAUCAAGUCAGGGGUGAAAGGCCUGGGCUCAACCUGGGAAUUGCCUUUGAAACUGAUUGUCUAGAGUCCGGAAGAGGAUGGCGGAAUUCCCAGUGUAGAGGUGAAAUUCGUAGAUAUUGGGAAGAACACCAGUGGCGAAGGUGGUCAUCUGGUACGGUAAUGACUUUGAGGCGAGAAAGCGUGGGGAGCAAACAGG
rnacentral:rRNA from 1 species